ensembl:lncRNA
GCCAUUAGGAAGCAUCAUUUGUCACUAGAAAGACAGUGGAGGAUGGUGAUUAGAGCUCAGACCUGAGAGCCAGAAAGAUCCUGUCUGGGGGCUUAGCAUCCACACUCAACUACUGGAAGCCUCGGUUUCCUCACCUGUAAAAUGAAGAUUCUCAUCAUCUCUCUAUGAAGAACAGACAUUUCACAAUGUCUGUCUGAAGAACAGACACUGUGAAGAACAGACUUUUUCACAGUGAUAACAAAGAGGGGUCCGGACUCACCUGGAGGACUGGGCCACCUGGAGGAGGGAGAAUGAAGAAUCUGUGGAGCUCAGUGUGAAAUAAAAACGCGAGGCCCUUUGUUGAAAACUGGAGAAUUUCAAGCUGGACCACAUGACACCAGAACAUUAAACCAAAUCUUUCUAGUGGAAGUCAGCAGAAUGCCUCUGUCUGGAGAAAUGUGUGUUGACCAAAGGGAAAGAUUGACUCAAGUGAGAACCGUGAUGGCUACCAGCAUCAGCUCCCUAGAUACUCUCAAAGCAAGGCCAGGCCCUAUUCAGGAAGCAGACGCAUUUUUCCUCAACUCUCCUAUUCAGGCAUUAACAGUGUGUAAAUGCAAUGUAAGCGCAACCUACAACAGCACGAAGUUAGCAGAAGGAAAAUGGACUCAGGAGCCUAGCAAAAGAAGGGAGCCUACAAAAAAAAGCAAACAAGGGAAAAAUAAAAGGGUUUGGCCUCUGUGGUUGAUGGCUCAGCCUUGGCAACUGCCCCGGGGGAAGCUGCCUGCCCCAGCCUCUUAGAGAACAGUCUCACAAGCCCUGAUUGAAGACCUCAUCAGCCACUUUUGUUCAGUCCUGGGUGACCACGCAAGACAUAUUUAGAUUUUUGCUGCUUCUUUAAAUAACCAAAUAGAAGUCUGUAUUUGUCCUUAAAGAAAACAUUCAAAACCCACUCCACCAAUAUCAGAGUGACUCUCUUGUUCUGUGGAAAUUUACACAACAGCAGCACAAGAAAAUCCCUCGGAAAUAAAAGCGUGUAAAAAAAGAUGGAAAACUGAAUUUUGUUCACCUAUCAGCUUUUCUUUUUUUCUCUUAAGAGUCUUCAUUGUCAUUCAAUCUGGUCAAUAAUUACUCUUGAGUAUACACUUUCAAGGAUACUAAACAAAAGCAUUCAUCUGUGCUGUGAUCAGCAGUGUUUCUAAUGGGAUAUGGAGGAGAAGCAAAGUAAAUACAAAUCAACACAGGAAUUUAGAAAAAAAUAACACUGUCCCUCUGGGGAACUUGAGAGAAAAAAACGAAACAGAAAACAAUCAACUUGCUCAAAGUCUAAGUAUAAGCGACAUGAUGAUUAGUUAAAUCAUCUUAAUGAAAUGUACAGACCUAUGUGCUCUUAGAUAGAUAAUUCAUAUGCAAUUUUAUUAUCUCUCAAGGUUUAAUUAAAUAUUUGCCUUUUGGCUAAUCGACAGCAAUUAAUAAGAAAUGCUUUUAGUCAUACAGCUUAUAAGAAAUAUGGACAUGGCCCACACUGGAAUUUCACUGGUCUCUUAAUGAAGGCAAGAGUGUACAAUAACAUGAGAGCAUGGAUCUCAAGCCUGGGUUCUCUAGAGACACAGAACCCACAGGGUGUGUGGGGGGCUCCCCAGGUGGCACUAGUGGUAAAGAAUCUGCCUGCCAAUGCAGGAGACGCAAGAGACGGUUCAAUCCCUGUUUACAUGCAUGAGGGACAACUUCUCAGGUCAGGAGUGAUGAACAAAUUAAACUUUUAAGACCCCCUCUUUCAGCCUCCCAAGAUAUAUUUCUAAAGACUGCCUUGCCCCAGGGUUCUCUUUCAGCAGCUGUCUUCCCUUGAAUCUGUCUUAAAAUCUGCCUGCCAAUGCAGGAGACGUAGGUUCAAUCCUGGACUGAGAAGAUCCCUGGGAGAAAGAAAUGGCAACCUACUCCAGAUUCUUGUCUGGGAAACCCCAUGGACAGAGGAGCCUGGUAGGCUACAGUCCAUGGGAUCACAGAGAGUUGGACACAACUUAGUGACUAAGCAAUAGCCAUAGGGUGUGUGUAUGUGUGGAGAGGGAGAUAGAGACGAGAGAGAUUUAUUUUAAGGAACUGACUCCUCUGAUUGUGGAGGCUGGCAAGUCCAAAUUCUAUAGGUAAACCUACCAAGCUGGAGACCCAGGGAAGAGCUGAUACAACAGCUCUGGUCCAAGCAAGUCUGGAGGCAGAAUUCAUUCUUCUUCCAGGGACUUCAGUUUUUCAUUUAUCUGUUUUACUAAAAGAUUACGGAUUAUAAAUGUUAAUCUCAUAUGUGGAGAUUAACACAGGCACACUCCGAUAUAUAAAGUAAGUAACCAACAAAGACCUACUGUAUAGCACAGGGAACUAUACUCAGUUAUUUUUAUAAUAACUUGUAGCUCAGUCGAUAAAGAAUCUGCAUGCAGUGCAAGAGAUCUGGGUUUGAUCCCUGGGUUAGGUAGAUCCCCUAGAGAAAGAAAUGGCUACCCACUCCAGUAUUCUUGCCUGGAGAAUCCCAUGGGCCGAGGAGCCUGGUGGGCUACAGUCCUUGGGGUUGCAAGAGUCAGACAGGGCUUAGUGACUAAAUCACCAUCAUAAGGGAAAAGAAUCUGAAAAGGAAUAGAUAUGUAUAUGUGUAUAUAUGUGUGUGUGUGUAUAAUGAAUCAUUGGGCUGUACAUCUGAAAGUACCAUGAUAUUGUAAAUUAGCCAUGUGAGUGAAAGUGAAGUCACUCAGUCAUGUCCGACUCUUUGCGAUCCCAUGGACUGUAGUCUAGCAGGCUUCUCUGUCCAUGGGAUUUUCCAGGCAAGAGUACUGGAGUGGGUUGCCAUUUCCUUCUCCAGGGGAUCUUCCUGACCCAGGGAUCGAACCCAGGUCUCCUGCAUUGCAAGCAGACGCUUUACCCUCUGAGCCACCAGGGAAGCCCACAGAAAUCAGCCAUACUUCAAUUAAAAAAUGAUAACCUCAGGGACUUCCCUGGUGGCCCAGUGGCUAAUCUGCCUUCUAAUGCAGGGUAUAUGGAUGUGAUCCCUGGUCAGGGAACUAAGAUUCUGUAUGCUUUGGGGCAGUUAAGCCUGCAUGCCACAACAAGAGAAGCCCAGGGGCCUCACCUUCUGAGCCUGAGCCCUCCAGAGCCCUUGCUCCAUAAGAAGAGAAGCCCGUGAGUCACAGUGAAGAUCCAAGUGCAGCCAAAAACGAUAAUAAAAAAUUAUAAUCUCAUCUUAAAAACACCUUGGCAGUAUUGAAACUGGUGUUUGAUCGAAUACCUGGGUGCUGUGACUUAGUCAAGUAGACACACAAAAUUAAUCAUUGCAACCCUGGAAAGAAAAAACAAUGAGACUAUUUAUUUUAGAAGAGGAAGCUUAAAAUAGAUGAAAAAGUGAGUAUAACACUUGCUAAAAUCUCAGUAUCAAACUAGGAAAAGGAGUUUGGGUUGAAAAAAGAAAAAAGUAAUAUUAGGUAAGUGAUAAGGAGUCAGCUUAAGAAUGUCGUCCUGUGUUUUAUGUACAGAUAUUCACUUAGAGCACCUAAAAUAUGCACAUGUAGUAUACUUCAGCUGUCACCACACCAAGCAUAAAACUGCACUCUACAAAGAAGGGGCACUUAUUAAAAACAUAAAGAACCAAGAGCGUCAUUUGUUGCCUAACUUGUCAUGCAAUAAAUAAUGACCUUUUGAUCCUCAGCUUAGUACUACCAUUUCAUGCAACCAUUCCAUACCAUUUCAAACUACUACAUGUUUGUACAGUCCUACUUUCCCUGGAAAAUAAAAACAUCAAGGGAAGAGGAGAAUAGUGAAUGACAACAAAUUACCAGCGUACUUUGUACAUUGGGACAGUGGUAAGUGAUUUGGGCAUAUAAAAAGAAAUUUGAGUAGUUUUUGGUGGAAAUGUAUUUGCCAUAGUUUAAGCUAGCUGAUGCUUCAUUAAAAGUAAUUUUUAGCGAGGUAAAUUCUUAAACUGCAGUCAACAAUAAAGCAUGGUUUGAGGGAUGAGAAAGUCAAACCCCUAUGCAGAAUUUAAUUAGGAUUCAUUUGUAAAACUGAUUUCAUUUCCAAAGAAAACUUGGAAAAUCUCUAUUAAUCUCAUGACUUCAUUUGAAGACAUUAUAAUUUAGGGGGGAAUUCCCUGGUGGGCAAGUGGUUAAGACUCCACCCUGCCAAUGCAGGAGCUCCAGGUCAGUCCUUGGUGGGGGAACUAAGGCAAAUGAAAACAAAUUAAGGACGAGUUAAGCCAAAUUGAAACAAAAAGACAUUAUAAUUUUUAGUAUGUCCAUAAAAUGAGCAGAGACUUGAUCCUGUGGCAGCUGAUACAAAGCUUGGCCAACUAAAGGGGACUUUGCAAGACAAAAUAUGUCAUGCAAGAGUGACCCCGUUUUUGAAGGGGUUCAAAAUUUUGCUCCUUGGAAACAUAACAUAAGGAAAGUUAUGACCAACCUAGACAGCAUAUUAAAAAGCAGAGACAUUACUUUGCCAACAAACAUCCAUCUAGUCAAGGCUAUGGUUUUUCCAGUAGUCAUGUACUGAUGUGAGAGUUGGACUGUGAAGAAAGCUGAGUGCCAAAGAAUUGAUGCUUUUGAACUGUGGUAUUGGAGAAGUCUCUUGAGAGUCCCUUGGAUGGCAAGGAGAUCCAACCAGUCCAUCCUAAAGGAAAUCAGUCCUGAAUAUUCGUUGGAAGGACUGAUGCUGAAGCUGAAACUCCAAUACUUUGGCCACCUGAUGCAAAGAGCUGACUCAUUUGAAAAGACCCUGAUUCUGGGAAAGAUUGAAGGCGAGAGGAGAAGGGGACAACAGAGGAUGAGAUGAUUGGAUGGCAUCACUGACUCAAUGGACAUGGGUUUGGGUGGACUCCAGAAGUUGGUGAUGGAUAGGGAGGCCUGGCGUGCUGCGGUUCAUGGGGUCGCAAAGAGUCGGACAUGACUGAGCGACUGAACUGAACUGAAAAGGUAAAAAAAUGAAAAAUAAUAAAAUAUAAUGAUAAUAUGAUAAAGUAUAAUAAUGGCAGCCACUUCAUUAAUUUGUUCGCAGAUUCUGAGCUACAACAUGGAAAAGUGCUCAGUGCAGUGCCUGGCUUCUGUAAGUAUACCUUCCUUGUCUAUUACUCUUGAGGUGAUGAGGGGCUUGUUAACCUGGCUGCUGAUCUCACUCAGCCCAGUUGCUCUCCAUAUCUGAACAAGGUUGCUCUUCUUGCAUUUUCCAUACACAGAACAUU